rnacentral:rRNA from 1 species
ACGUAGGGUGCGAGCGUUAAUCGGAAUUACUGGGCGUAAAGCGUGCGCAGGCGGUUUGUUAAGCGAGAUGUGAAAUCCCCGGGCUUAACCUGGGAACGGCGUUUCGAACUGGCAGGCUAGAGUGUGAUAGAGGGUGGUGGAAUUCCAGGUGUAGCAGUGAAAUGCGUAGAGAUGUGAAGGAACACCGAUGGCGAAGGCAGCCCCCUGGGUUAACACUGACGCUCAUGUACGAAAGCGUGGGUAGCAAACGG